CGGGCUGCCGGCGGGUGUGAAGAAAAAAAUGACACUCCAAUGGGCUGCAGUGGCAACCUUUCUUUAUGCCGAAAUAGGACUCAUUUUAAUCUUCUGCCUACCUUUUAUUCCUCCUCAGAGAUGGCAGAAGAUUUUUUCAUUUAAUGUCUGGGGUAAAAUUGCAACUUUUUGGAACAAGGCUUUCCUUACCAUUAUCAUCCUAUUGAUUGUUCUAUUUCUAGAUGCUGUGAGAGAAGUAAGGAAAUAUUCCUCAGUUCAUACCAUUGAGAAGAGCUCCACCAGCAGACCUGAUGCCUAUGAACACACACAGAUGAAACUUUUUAGGUCUCAAAGAAAUCUUUACAUUUCUGGAUUUUCCCUAUUUUUUUGGCUAGUUUUGAGACGUCUGGUUACGCUUAUUACUCAACUGGCAAAAGAACUGUCAAACAAAGGUGUACUUAAAACUCAAGCAGAAAAUACUAACAAGGCUGCCAAAAAAUUUAUGGAAGAAAACGAAAAACUAAAAAGGAUUUUGAAAAGCCAUGGUAAAGAUGAAGAAUGUGUUUUGGAAGCAGAAAAUAAAAAACUAGUAGAAGACCAGGAGAAACUGAAAACUGAAUUAAGGAAGACUUCAGAUGGUAACUUUGUGUACAUGUGAAAAAGUAAAAAGACUAGCAUGAUAUUUUAUGCUGUACACUUCACUGUUUUUCCUAAAACAAAACUAAUGCCUAAAUGUUCUUCUAAGAUACCGAGAAUGACCUAUUUAUAAAUUCUUGUUCAAAUAUGAAGAUAAAACAUUAUGUCAGCCAAGAGAAACAUGCUCUGUUAUACAGAAAAACAUGUAGGUGUUUCAGAUCUGUGUUGUAAAUACAGAUGUUCUUGCCUUAGCAAAAGAGCUGUGUUCCUAAAAAGUUGUUUAUAAAUGUGUUUUUAUAAAAAGAAUCACAUUUUUCCAUCAUCGUAUAUUCCUCCUCUCAGAGAAGCAAUUGUAGGGGAACAGUUUUCUUACAAGAAAAUAUAUUGUUUAUUUCAAGCACUAAUAUAUUCUACCUGUUAGACAUAAGGAAAGCGUUCCUUGAAAGAGGUGGGUAGGCACAGAGUAGGCAACAAUAUCUGGGAUGUCAGCUAAGAAUUUGAGUGCCUCCUUCCCACAUAACAUUGCAGUGUAGGCUUGAAGUGGAGCAUCCCAACUCCAUUUUCCUGAAGGCAGCAAUUUCUUCUACAUUAAAAAAAAAAGUUUUGCUAGUGUUUUUUUCUUAGUCAAAGAACAAAUUAUUUUUGUUGCAUCUGCACAGCACAGAAAAGUAGAUAACCCAAAUUCAGUGUCAUCCAAGAAAACUCAGUGUAAGUUUGUGGCUUGAUGAUUUGCAACAUUUCUGCAUACAACAGAUAGUUUUUUAUGUUGGCCAGACACUGAGAAACCUCACUUUCAGUUGGUGUUAAGGUACGUUGUUUGGAUAGGGUUUACUUCAAUCAGGGUGUAUUUGAAUUUGAGAUGAAAAACAUAAAAAUAAAAGCUAAUUCUGUGAAUAGAACAGAAAUCCACUGGAGAAUAUUUAUGUGAUACAAAAUUCUUUAGUCACGUUCCUCCUUAUUAUUUCAAGUG
rnacentral:lncRNA from 1 species